UACGUAGGCAGCAAGCGUUGUUCGGAAUUACUGGGCGUAAAGAGUGUGUAGGCGGUGCUCUAAGUCUGAUGUGAAAUCUCCCGGCUUAACCGGGAGGGUGCGGCGGAAACUGGAGUGCUUGAGGGUGGGAGAGGUAAGCGGAAUUCCUGGUGUAGCGGUGAAAUGCGUAGAUAUCAGGAGGAACACCUGUGGUGUAGACAGCUUACUGGACCACUUCUGACGCUGAGACACGAAAGCGUGGGUAGCAAACAGG
rnacentral:rRNA from 1 species